UCCAGUCUGAGUGACAGAGCAAGACUCCAUCUCAAAAAAAAAAAAAAGUUACUCAAAAACCUUAGUCCUCACAGAAAUCAAAUUAAAUCCGAUGAAUACCACUAUACACCCAACAAAAUGACUAAAAGUAAAAAUGCUGAUAAUUUACAGUGUUAGGAGGAUUAUGAAUUGGUAGAAACCUUUUGGGUAACUGAUGGUAUCUACUUCUUAAUAAGAUAAGCCUUCUCUGUGACCUGAGCAGUUCUGCUUUGUUAUAUACCUAAGAUAAAUAUAAGUAUGGAUGUACAUAGCAUGUGUAAUAACCCCAAACUGGAAUAAUCCAAAUAGAAUAGUAAAGAUAUUGUCAUAUAUUCAUACAGUGGAAUACAGGUUGAAUAUUUCUUAUGCAAAAUGCUUAGCACCCCAAGUGUUUGGAUUGGGGAUUAUUCAUUUAUUAAGUGCUACUGCAGCUCGAUUUGGGAUUUUUUCAGAUCUUUGAAUGUGCAUUAUACUUACCAAUUAAGCUUCGCUAAUCCUAUAAUCCGAAAUGUUCCAAUGAGUAUUUUCUUUGAGCAUCAUAUUAGCACUAAAAAAAUUUUGGGUUUUGGAGCAUUUUGGAUUUCAGAUUAGGGAUGUUCAACCUGUAUUUCAAAUGACUGUUUAACACUAUUAAAUGGGUUUAUCUCACAGAUACAAUAAUGAGCAAAAGAGCAUUACUCUGUUUCUUUUUAUCUAAAAGUCAAAUUAAAAAACACAUCAAUAUAUACUGAUAGCAGUAAGAAUAGCAACCUGAGGUGUUACUGUCACUGGUUAGGACACACGGAAUCUUCAGAGUUGCAGGAAGCAUUCUGUAUCUUGAUCUGGAUGGUGGUUACUCAGGUAUAUAAAUAGUUAAAAAUGCAUCGAGUUAAACCCAUAAAGUUAGUAUACUAUAUGUAUGUAAUAUGUUAAAAUACUUUCUAAACAGUAAUAAGUAUGGUAGAUAUUUGCUAUAAUGGGAUUUUAUCUGGUCUGAAAUUACUACAUGCAGAAAAUUUCUAGGAAAUUUUUGAUCCAGAAAUUUUACAUGGUGAAGUGGAAAAAGUACUGGCCUUUGAGUUAGAAGACUGGUUCUGAAUCCAUCUCUGCUGCUUCUCACUCCCUCCAGUCUUAUCAAACCUGGGCACUGUGAUCUUGUGCGAGUUAUUUAAUCUCUGUCAUUGUACAGUGGAGGUAAUAACUUCCCUUUUCAGUUCCCGAAGUGUGAAAAGGAUUAAAUGAAAUGAUUGAUGUGAAGGGGCUUUGCACCUAAUGAAGUAUGCUGAUUUAUAGUAUCUAUAUAAUCCAGCGAGGUUGAUAUAUCCAAACACUGGAAACCCUCCUGGAUGUUGGGAUAGCAGUCUAGUUGCCCUGUGUAACAGGUUGUCUGGAUGAUUUCUUCCUUUUUUCAGAUGAUUGAGAAAUUUGAAGUCCUCUUAGAAAUCUUGAGAAUACGUAAAGGAGCAGGACUUUUGAACUGGAAGACACCGGCAGUUGGCCUGAGACGUCUGCCUUAUUCUGUCAAACCUUUGGCUAAUUUAUUUCUAAUUUCUAAAACCCUUGUCAGAGUUGUAACCAUUGGGCGAACCUUUAGCUGCUAUAACUGCAUUCAUUAACUCUUAAGAUGUGACUGAUUAUUAAGUGCACUUUUAUGUGCCACUAAGUUGGGUGGGGGGACGACUGCCAAUUAUAAUUGUAAGAAGCUUUUAAUUGCAAGAGCCUCACAACUUCAGAGAUAUUAAUAAAGGGAGAAAUGUGCAUCCUAGUGAAAUAUAAAAAUAUAAAAAGUUUCUGUGCAGUGUGUUUUUGUUUUGAUAAAUUUUUAGUUUCUGUGGAUUUACAUGACUUACAAGUUGAAACAUUUUAUAGCUCUGUAAAAAUGUUUGAGUUACACAGUUACUCACUUGGGGAGUCAAAAUUAUACAGAGGAAGUAAAAGAAAUACUAGGUAAAAUAUUCAUCACUUUCAUUUGCCUAUUUUAAAUGGGCACACUGAAGUGACUCACAUUAGUCUUUUGACUUGGUGUAGUGAUUGCCAUCAAAUUACAACUAAGUUUUGGUAAUUGACUGUUUUUCUUGUCCAUUGCUAUUAUCCCUAAACUACUAAUACACAGUAACCUCACAAGCAUUUGUUGAAUAAUUUAAUACCAUUUGUAAGUAAUUACUUUUAGCUGCCUGUCUGUUGUCUGAAGCCAGUAUGAGACCUUUAAUUCUACCAAGGUGAAUACUUUUUUUUUUUU